CCACCGUGCUCCGUACCGCCCCGCAACGCCCCCCAGAUUACGCCGUCAAACGCGCACGAAUUGACCUCGGAUCAGGUAGGGAUACCCGCUGAACUUAAGCAUAUCAAUAAGCGGAGGAAAAGAAACCAACAGGGAUUGCCCUAGUAACGGCGAGUGAAGCGGCAACAGCUCAAAUUUGAAAUCUGGGCCCUUUGGGGCUCCGAGUUGUAAUUUGCAGAGGAUGCUUCGGCGCGUGGCCCGGGCCAAGUCCCUUGGAACAGGGCGCCCGAGAGGGUGAGAGCCCCGUACGCCCGGGACCCACCGCCGUAAGGAAGCUCCUUCGACGAGUCGAGUUGUUUGGGAAUGCAGCUCUAAGCGGGAGGUAAAUUUCUUCUAAAGCUAAAUACCGGCCAGAGACCGAUAGCGCACAAGUAGAGUGAUCGAAAGAUGAAAAGCACUUUGGAAAGAGAGUUAAAAAGCACGUGAAAUUGUUAAAAGGGAAGCUCUUGCUGUCAGACUUGUCGCGGUCGUUCAGCCCCCCCCCGGGGCGGUGUAAUCCUCCGCGGCGGGCCAGCAUCAGCUCUGGCGGCCGGACAAAGGCCUCGGGAAUGUAGCCCCCCUCGGGGGGUGUUAUAGCCCGGGGCGUAAUGCGGCCAGCCGGGGCCGAGGGAAGCGUUUUUGCUAGGAUGCUGGCGUAAUGGCAGCAAGCGACC
rnacentral:rRNA from 1 species